GACGAACGCUGGCGGCGUGCUUAACACAUGCAAGUCGAACGGAAAGGCCCUGCUUUUGUGGGGUGCUCGAGUGGCGAACGGGUGAGUAACACGUGAGUAACCUGCCCUUGACUUUGGGAUAACUUCAGGAAACUGGGGCUAAUACCGGAUAGGAGCUCCUGCUGCAUGGUGGGGGUUGGAAAGUUUCGGCGGUUGGGGAUGGACUCGCGGCUUAUCAGCUUGUUGGUGGGGUAGUUGCUUACCAAGGCUUUGACGGGUAGCCGGCCUGUGAGGGUGACCGGGCACAUGGGGACUGAGAUAGGGCCCAGAGUCCUACGGGAGGCAGCAGUGGGAAAUAUUGCACAAUGGGAGGAAGCCGGAUGCAGCAACGCCGCGUGCGGGAUGACGGCCUUCGGGUUGUAAACCGCUUUCGCCUGUGACGAAGCGUGAGUGACGGUAAUGGGUAAAGAAGCACCGGCUAACUACGUG
rnacentral:rRNA from 1 species